ACCACUCGGAAAGACUUACACAAAAUACUUUAUUCCGAUUAAAUUCCAGUAAAAAAACAACCUAUUUUUUGUCUGUCAACCAAUAACCCAAUAAGCACAAACAAGAGUUAAAGAGUACAGCGAGAGAAGAGACAGGUCCCUAUGCCCACGGUCCUGCUGUGGUAGAAGACGCAGCAGACGGAAGGAGAGGAGGUCGCCCUCUCCGGGUACGGAAGGAGAGGAGGACGCACCACCUUCUACCGGCGUCAAUUGCCGCGAGGACGCUCGCCCCCUGUGCUCACGCCACGUCUGUCACUGGUCCACACUGCUCUGUCGGCGGCCGGCGGACACCCGCCAAGAAAGUGCACGACAUCUGGCACGGUAAGAUACUGCUCCUACACAAGGUCCUUUACCUUUGUUUACUUUGACCUACGAGUAGUACAUAAAGUACUUCUUUAAACGUACAGACCCCGUACAGAGGCAUAUUUUCCGGCUAGAGACGUGUUGUCAUCAAAGAAGUCCAAUACCACAGGCUAAAAAAAGUAGAGUAAAACGGUACGUGAUCUAAUGUACCAAUUAUGACAGUGAUACGUUAUUGACCCUUCUAAUACCUCCCUUCCCUGUUAUACAUUCUACCCCGUUCCUCCGACCACAUCUAGAACGAAGAGUACUACUGAAGUAUAGACUACGUUGUGAAGUCUCGAUGAUGUUUUCGAAAAAAAUCCUUCGAUGAUGUUUCGAAAAAAAGCCUUCGAUGCUGUUUCGAAAACAAGUCCUUUAUACAGCUUCGUGUCUUAUAUAAGGUAAACGUCACCUGAUGGUCUUGUUGUGUUGUGUAUUUUUCUCCUCAUAUUCACCUUUGGAAAGAAAGAGAAAUUUAAGAACUCCUGCCAUUGUAAUACUACUUCCACCUUGGUAUCUCUCUACACAUAAAAAUUAACUCUAUAAAAGUCCUCAUGGAAACGUUUCGACUAUAUAGAAAGAAAAUGUUCUAUACCAACGUGAACGAAGUAGAUGUAUCCGGCAGACCUUACGGUACUCCGGCCCUAACCACAUCCUUUAGAAGUUUCGAUAAUAUAACCAGAGGUCUUUGAACGUUAUGUAGUUACGUAAAAAUAAAAAUAAAAAAACGACUGUGGUGUCGAUGGUGGAGAAGUGAUUUACUGUCUCCAACGGUCGUUGACGUGUACCUUUCUAACUUACAAUAUAAGACAGAUGAUUAGUUAUUCCUCCCUCUAGUUUAAUGACGAGAGUUUAUAAGUGGACUAACUAAAACUUUUAUCCCAAUUUUUACCACAAUACUUACUUCUACCUACCCCCACUCCCGACCCUCUUUCUACAACAUAACGUUCUUCUUCAACCAAUUCUUCUGACUACUAAUACUCUUACUUCCUGUGCUUGAAAACUUAAUCUGGUUAACAAACUAGCUAGUAAAAACAAGAGAACUUUUGCUACAUACCAGUUAAAAUCAUAAGACUACACUAACUUCUUAUAUCCUCCCUGUUUCUCUACACGAUAACGGUCCUGUUAAUACUGAGAUAAGUCCAUAAGUCAAUACUAAGAGGUACCAGUACGAAGAGGACAAGUGGACCUUCAAAUAACUACCCUCCCUUCGGUGAAGACGAAACUACUAAAGAACUUUCAAGUCCAAUUUUG
rnacentral:rRNA from 1 species